UCACGAUCGAUGGACAAACUGCGUCACG
rnacentral:sRNA from 1 species